AACCGCCCCUCCUUGCCCUACCUGGGCCCUUUUCCUUUUCGGUCGGAGGAGCUGCAGGCGCCCGGCCUGUCUGGAGCGAGUCGACUCCACGGACCUGGGGCAGGAGAGACGCGUCUCUCGCCCCGGGGCCGUGUGGUGCGCGCAGGAGGGAGGACCAAGAAGCGGACUCUGCCUGGACUUGCCUGGGCUUGUUCAGAGCCGGGCUGCUUCCCUCAGUGGCCGCGCAGAUCCGGGGCGAUUUCGAGAUUUUGCGGGAGCCUUGGAGCCAAGCCCCGGGGAGGAGGAGGCUGGAAGCCCGCGCGACCUGCUCGCCCCGUCCAAGGCUGAGCCCAGGUCUUAGGGAGAGGCAGGACAGGCCUGCACGCCGUCAUCAGCGGGGCCAGCUGUGAGUGUUUCUUUGGCAGUGUCUUAGCUGGUUGUUGUGAGUAAUAAUGAAGGAAGCAAUCAGCAAGUAUACUGCCCUAGAAGUGCUGCACGUUGUUGUGCCCAAGAGGGAAGAAACAGGCAAGACACUCGAGCCACGUGAGACGCCGGGACAGGACGUCGGAGGCUCUGCCCCGCCGUGUCGGCUGGUAAGGGCUGCCGGGGAAGCAAGCUCUCCGGCCACCAGAGCUGGCCUGCUCACGGGUGUUGAAGGAAAAAGGCGCACAGCCUGGGCCAUGGGUGGUUUCUGGCUGGGAGAAGCUUGCACGUAGGAAUGACGAUCACCAGUGUUUAUGAGCACUUUCUGUGUGUGAAGCCCUGUCCUAGGCAUCCUAAAUGUAUUAUCUCAGGAGUAAGAGUCCGUUGUUAUCCCUGUCUUGCAGAGAAGAAACAGAAGUACAAAGAGCAGAAGUAACAAAGGAUGGGAAUUCCCUGGUGGUCCAGUGGUUAGGACUCCGCGCUUCCACUACAGGGAGCACAGGUUCGAUCCCUGGUUGGGGAACUAAGAUCCCACAAGGUGCACAGCGUGGCCAAAUAAUAAUAAUAGAUUUUUUUUUUUAAAGUAACAAAGGACGCAGUUGAUAGAAAGAGGGCCCAAGAGCCCAAGUCUGGCUCCAGACUCUGUACUCUUUUUUUUUUUUUUUUUUUUUUUUUUUAAUUUUUGGCUGCACUCUGUGGCAUGUGGGACCUUAGUUCCCUGACCAGGGAUCGAACCUGCACCCCCUGCAUUGGAAGGCGGAAUCUUAACCACUGGACUGUCGGGGAAGUCCCCAGACUCUACUCUUAACCGCGGGCUAGUGUCCUUAGAGAUGGGCCUAGGGUGGUGUCACUGUCCUGCGGACCCGCUUUGCCGAAUGAUUUGAACGUGAAUACCCUCCACUCUCUCUCUGCAUGAGGCAAAUUUCAAAUGCAGUCAUACGCUUUGGAGAAUGUUCCUGUGUGGGUAUUAGGAGAUGUGUCUGCCUUGGGGAGAGUUUUUCUUUUCAGCUGAAACCGGGCCCAGGAAGUUGAUAAGGAUGAGAAGCUGGUGGUGUUUUCUGCUCUGGUGGCUGAUGAGAAAGGUUCCUCUAAGGGAGCUCAGCUGAGACAACAGUUCGGUUCUCUGGGUCCCACCAGCUCCACCUACCGAUGCCAGCUUUGGGUCCAGUGAGCUGUGAGGCCACAGGAACUCGACCCAAGCCACCAGAAGAUGGAGAACCAAGACACAGUGGUGGCUCUUCCAGGUCUUGGACCACGAGCCCCAGAUAACUCAUCAAGGGGCCCUGCACUUCCCCAGAGUCUGCUAAACCAGCCUUGGGUCCUUGCCUUUCUGCCCUUGGCGUCCGUGCUCAUUGACAUUGAGCUGUGAGUUCCCCGGUUCUCUGUCCCACUGAUUUUCUCCAUUGUUCUCCAACCUGGUGCUUAUAGGCAUUCACCCAUGUCCCUGAGGAGAAACCACGUGACAGUGGCUGACGCCUCUGACCCCAAUGACUAAGACAAAGCCUCCAAGGUCCAGGAAGCGAUGGGUAACUUUCAUGCAGACCAAGGACAGCGCUUGCUGUGACCCCCCCCCCAGCCUCUGCAUGUCCCCUGCUGCUACCCUCCCAGGGCACCUCCCCUGCUUGUGCCCACCCACCUGGACCCCAUCCCUUAGCUCUGUCUUGCCUUUCUCAGUGCUUCCAAACGCUGGAGGAGAGAGGAACCUAUUUCCAUUCUGACCAGUUUAUAAGACCCAGAGGGCUCUUAGAGAGGUUUUCUGGGAUUUGGAAUUGACCCUUGGUCUUGACACACUCUGGCGGAUAGGCCCCUCCUCCAGCCUAAGCCAGUCCUCUUUCUCUUACUGCUGGAGAGCAAAGCAAGCAGCCAAAGCGGAUUCCUGUGGGGACUGUUCUGUUCCUCCUCUGCUCCAGGGGCUGGCUUCAGAGAUGGUCCCUUUGUCAUGCAUAUUGCACCGGCCACGCCCACGCCCAUGUGGCCACAGCUCCCCCUCUGCUGCGCCACGCCCCACCCCCACCCAGCAGUGCGUGGGCUGCAGCGGGGCCACCGAAUGCCUGGGAUGCCGGCUGCAGUGACAGAGCGGGCCCCAAUCCCUCACGGGAGUUUUGACCGAGGCAGCAUUUGGGAUCGCUUAUGAGCUGAAAUCUUUACAUUUUUCCCCAGUUUUAGGCUGAAGUAAAGAAUGCCUGCCUUUUCCAACCACCAACCCUUGAACUUCUAAGACAAAGGGACCACACCCUUGGAUUAUGAUCUAACUAGGCUAUGAAUUUGAGUUCAGGUAAAAUUAUUUGCAAAGUAACCUCUUUUCCUACCUAGCUAGAAACAAGAAAAAUCAUCCUUCUCUGACAGGCAGAGGUCACCUGUAGACAUUCCUGGAUAAUCAGUCAGGAAACAGAAACAGCAGACAGUCUCUGCUUCCCUGCGGGUCUUGGAUAAAACUGAUGUCUUUGUGGCAAUUGAAUUCACUUAUGCAGUCUUUAGAGCAGAUGGAUAGAAUAUUUCUGUCGUCUUUCUAUUUGAUAGUAAUAGAAGAAAUGUAGUGGGAUAUACAUCUAGCUCUUUAUCUCCACUCCUGCAGAGACAGGAGGGAUGAUGUUGUGAGUUUAGAAUAUAUUGGGACAAAGAGAGCUACUUCUCUCUCUCUCUGUCUCUCUCUCUGUCUCUUUCUCUCUCUCACACACACACACACACACAUUCGUGUGCACGCAUGCACCCUGGCCCCGAAUUUGGGGAGUUCAAAGUCCAGUAAGUUGAGGAUAUCCAGACCCGGGGCAGAGUGCACUUCUGCUUUUGAGAACGAAUGGGCAGAUUCUAGUUUGUAGUUGGUGGGUCGGAGAGAGGGAUCAAGAAUUUCAUAGUUGGACUUGGCGUUUGGAGGCAGGUGGAGUUAGAUGCAAAUUUUAUGUUUUUGGGGAAAGUAUUUGAUCUUCUUGACUGUGAGGCAAAGUGAGGGUUAAAAAUAUAUAUUUGAUUAAAAAUAUAUAUGCAUAUAUAUUUAAUAAGCUCUGUGGAUCAUACUAAUAUCAAUUUCCUGGUUUCAGUAUAGUCCUAUAGUUACACAAGGUGUUACUUCUGGGAGAAACUGGCUGAAAGGUACACAGGAUCUCUCUGUACCCUUUUUAUCUUUUCAA